rnacentral:rRNA from 1 species
AGUGAACGCUGGCGGUAGGCCUAACACAUGCAAGUCGAACGGCAGCACAGUAAGAGCUUGCUCUUACGGGUGGCGAGUGGCGGACGGGUGAGGAAUACAUCGGCAUCUACUUUUUCGUGGGGGAUAACGUAGGGAAACUUACGCUAAUACCGCAUACGACCUACGGUUGAAAGCAGGGGAUCUUCGAACCUUUCGCGAUUGAAUGAGCCGAUGUCGGAUUAGCUAGUUGGCGGGGUAAAGGCCCACCAAGGCGACGAUCCGUAGCUGGUCUGAGAGGAUGAUCAGCCACACUGGAACUGAGACACGGUCCAGACUCCUACGGGAGGCAGCAGUGGGGAAUAUUGGACAAUGGGCGCAAGCCUGGUCCAGCCAUACCGCGUGGGUGAAGAAGGCCUUCGGGUUGUAAAGCCCUUUUGUUGGGAAAGAAAAGCAGCAGGUUAAUACCCCGCUGUUCUGACGGUACCCAAAGAAUAAGCACCGGCUAACUUCGUG